UAAAAGGGAAAAUAUUCCGGCUUUUUAUUGCAUCUACCAAGGACAUGGUACACGAUAAUUCUGUUCAACCUAUACAUAAAUUCUGUUCACAAUAUUUCUGAUUCCCAUGAACGAACCAACAAAGAAAAAGACAAGCGCAACCACUCGAUGAUUGAUGCCCUUCAAGGAGGCAAGGAUCACCAAGGGUAAAUGCUACACCACACCACUUUUGUUUCCAAUACAAGUAGUGUGCACGCACAAGAUUACACCAAAGACUCAAUGGGGUGAUCAAUUAAAUUGGGAUUUCCCCCUAUUUUUCCUCGACAACCCAUCAUCUCAUCACACCAUGUAGAGACGGCAGCUUUAGCUUGACAACCAACACUCCAGGCUUGGGCAUUCCAAAGUUCCCUCCCCUCGCCUUGUAACAGCCAGGCCUUUCAGGGUUUUCUUUUCUUUCAUGUAGAUAUGCUCUCCCUCCUGUCAUCAUGUACAAAUAAACAAGUCAAGUUUCUCUAACGAGAAGACAAGGCAAAGAAUAUGCAGAUGGUAGUUUGGUUUCACAAGCAGAAUAGAAGCUAGGCUAGAGCAAAGCCUCGACGGCCUGGGUAAACCACAAAACACAAGACUUGCAGGCAUACUGGCAAUAUUUGACACACGUCUAAUUCAAAUGAGUAAACUCGUUCAACUACAUGACCCCACCAGGCAACCACCCCAGCCAUGGUAUGUGAAGUAAGAAUUUCCUACACAAUAACCUGGGCUGGGGUCCAGCCGCACCAAUCAAGCAGUGCAGCAAACUAAACCAGGGAUGGACCUCACCAUGGUACUUUGGUUUCAAAACCAGAAUAUAAACCCAUUUAUUUCUAAAAAAACCCUUGUAAUUCACAUGAGCAUCCAGUACAAUAAAUAAUUCAUUUUUGAAUACAAGCAGCAAAUAGCAUUACUAGGGCCAUAAAGUCUUGGAGAAUUUCUGCAAAUAGCAAUCGUUACUAGAGGAUUGCAAACACCCAUGUGUGCUGCUUUACUAGCAAUACAACCAAACCUAGCAUUCAGGUUCAACUAGCCUCAUAUAGGACCACCUCAACAGGCAGGAACCAGCCAACCUGCGAGUCUGAUGGCAUCAAGCAAGCAAGCAAUAAACCAAAAUAACCAAGAACAGACUCGACCUCACCCAGCCCUAGUAGUUUGGUUUCAUAACAAGAAAAUAAUAGAAAGUAGGCAGGCUAUAGAUACGUAGGUAAGCAAUUUUGACAAGAUUUGUAGAGGGAAAGCAGAGAUACCAUGAGGAGCUCCAUUGCCUUAUAGUUCUCCAAUUUCCUGCAAUGGGAAAUUUGAAAAAAACCGUCAAACCAUGAGUUUUCGACUUGCUUACACUAUGGUUGUUUCGACAUUCAAAAAAUAGAUGCCCUCAUGUUGGAUAAGAUCCCAACAAUUAAUGUACCAUGUUGUUCAUGGUUUCAACAGUUACAGAAGAAUCUAUCAACACAACUCAUACAUAACGGACGAAGAAUCUAUCAACACAAUACACAAGGACUAGAGUGGGAGGCAAUUCGAGAGAAAGCAUUAGAUGGAAAUGCAUCAGUUCCUUUCCAUCCAAUAUCCAGUGGCAUUCAAACAUCAUAAUCCGCUUGUAAAGACAACACUACCCAGUGCAAGUGUACACAACAGGAACAUGCAUCAUCAGAAAAGAGAGAGGCAAAAUUAAGUGAUGUUCCUCAUACCCAUGAAGGAACUCACCAGGCCAUGAAUCCUCUGCUAAACUCUAAUCCUCC
rnacentral:lncRNA from 1 species